UACGUAGGGGGCGAGCGUUGUCCGGAAUUACUGGGCGUAAAGGGUGCGUAGGCGGCCUCAGAAGUCAGGUGUGAAAUACCGUGGCUUAACCACGGGGGUGCAUUUGAAACUUUGAGGCUUGAGUGCAGGAGAGGAAAGUGGAAUUCCUAGUGUAGCGGUGAAAUGCGUAGAGAUUAGGAGGAACACCAGUGGCGAAGGCGACUUUCUGGACUGUAACUGACGCUGAUGCACGAAAGCGUGGGUAGCGAACAGGAUUAGAUACC
rnacentral:rRNA from 1 species